rnacentral:rRNA from 1 species
CCUACGGGAGUCAGCAGUAGGGAAUCUUCCACAAUGGGCGAAAGCCUGAUGGAGCAACGCCGCGUGGGUGAAGAAGGUCUUCGGAUCGUAAAACCCUGUUGUUAGAGAAGAAAAUGCGUGAGAGUAACUGUUCACGUUUCGACGGUAUCUAUCCAGAAAGCCACGGCUAAUUACGUGCAAGCCGCUGAGGGAAUACGGAGGAGGGAAGUGUUAACCGGAUUGGUUGGGUGGAAAGGGAUCGCAGGUGGUCUGUUAAGUCUGAUGUGAAAGUGUUCGGCUUAACCGGAGUAGUGCAUAGGAAACUGGGAGACUUGAGUACAGAAGAGGAGAGAGGAA